GUAACUCCGCUUGAAAUAUUAAAGGGACAGAAAUCUUGUUAAAAUUGCCAGAAACACUCUUGUUGAGUUUUCAUCUAAUUACAUGGCUAAAAUUAAAUAUACCAAAAGGAAUCCAUCACACGUUCCUCAGGAUAAAAAUGCAUUGCGUAAAAACCGGGAGCCAGAGUCGCCAAAGAAAAGUUGCAGUGCUAAAGGAAUGUAUGUUUGCCAAAGAAGAAUUUCAGCAAUACGAGAAGCUAAAUGGAAACCGAUUUGUAAAACAACAAAAGAUUAUGUCAGGAGAAUAAUGAAAUCUUCGAUCAGACAGCUGUUUAAAAGAGUUGCUGAUCGACAACCUGAAUUAUGUAAUGAUGUUGAGCGUGCGUUAUUAAAGCUCGAAGACAGAUUAUGUGUUGAGAUGGAUGAAUUGAAAGCACCCAAGAACAAAAUGGCUGAUUACACUAAACUCGACCCUGUCCUAGCUGACCUGUUAGAGAAAUGUAAAGAAGAAGAAGAGCACGAGGAUAAACUGAUAUAUGAUUGUGAAGUAGAAUUCAGGAAAAAUGUCGUGUUGAAAACCAAGAUAAGUAAAUUAAGGAACCGAUAACGAGUUGUAUGUCACACUGAUCAGCCGCUACAAUCACUAAAAGAAUAAAAGGGAUGACAUCGUUAUGAGCCCCCAAUAUUAACCCUUUUCUUUCUGUAAAUUGAAUUCUUGAACAUUUUCUAUACGAAUUAGAAAAAAAAAUAAAGGUUUUUGAAGUAUAUGUAGGUAAAAAAUAUGUUCUAUUUAGUGUAAAUGGGUAUGUAAAAUGGGUACAAGUCACCAUUCUGUCCGGACCAGUAACGUCUUAUGUAAACAAUGCACGCGCCAUUGAGCCAAUGAUUGGCGCCACGUGAUGUGACGUCACGUUUUGAAAGCCGUUAUUAUUUACAGAGUUGUUAGAAGACUUUUGCAAUCCUCUGUGAAACAGAUUUGUUGUAUUUAAUUAAACGGGUUAAACAGCUGAAUAUUUUUCAUCUUAUUUCGACUUUUUCUUAAAGGGACAAUAACACUCUUACUGGCUUGACAGCUCCCAAAAAUAAAAAAAAUAGCCUAGAUGUGUUAGUGUCUUACCUGUUGUGUAAAUUAUCCAUUAAAUCCUAUUUUACUUGUCAUCUGUGAAACAGAUUGGUUGUAUUUAAUUAAACGGGUUAAACAGCUGAAUAUUUUUCAUCUUAUUUCGACUUUUUCUUAAAGGGAUAAUAACACUCUUACUGGCUUGACAGCUCCCAAAAAUAAAAAAAAUAGCCUAGAUGUGUUAGUGUCUUACCUGUUGUGUAAAUUAUCCAGUAAAUCCUAUUUUACUUGUCCAGAGGGUUCAAAAAUCCAAGUCACAUUUGAAAAGGUUUACGUCAGGCUUUUCAAAUCAUUUAGUUGAAUUUUUCCAUUUUUUUAAAUUAGAUGUGUUAAGAUGAAAUUUGUAUCGUCAAUUAAUUGAAAUAUUGUAAAAUUUUGCAAUUUGUUGACCAGAAUAAAGAUUGGUACAUAUUAUUCAGUUACAA